GCGACGGAAUUAGGGUUUCCUUGUGCGCAACUUUUAUAAAUUCGCAGUGAGACCCUCGGAGCCGCCCAUCUAUUAGUCGAAAAGAGCGAUCGGAUAGGGCUUCGGAUUUUGAGAGGGAGACGAUGAGGGCAAAGUGGAAGAAGAAGAGAAUGAGGAGGCUCAAGAGGAAGCGCAGAAAGAUGCGGCAGAGGUCCAAAUAAUUUGGUGAAUGCAAGGAAAACCUCUGCUUCUUUGCUUUGCUGCUACAAGUUUGGUGAAUCCUUUACACAGUUUUCAGCAUUAGGCGAGACUUGAACUUAAACAUUGCUGUUGUUGUGAACUUCUACUUAUUUUGCUUAAAAAUUCUGUCUUUGCUAUUGACCAUAGAGUGCAUCAUCGCUUCUGUUCUGACCCUCACAGUUGUUUUUUGUUUACUAAAUUUGGGUUACAUCUUGCUUGCGUUA